UAACCUCAGAUCAGGCAAGAUUACCCGCUGAAUUUAAGCAUAUUAAUAAGCGGAGGAAAAGAAUAACAAAGGAUUCCCCUAGUAAUGGCGAAUGAAGAGAAUAGCUCAAAUUGAAAAUCUCCAUUGUGUUGCAAUGGCGAAUGUAGUUUCGAGAAAUACUCCGCACGUCGGGCCUGCCUAAGUUGCUUGGAACAGCACGUCAUAGAGGGUGACAACCCGUUACGUGGCAAAUUGUGUUUGCGAGGUGUUUUCGAAGAGUCGGGUUGUUUGGGAAUGCAGCCAAAAUGGGUGGUAAACUCCAUCUAAAGCUAAAUAUGGGCACGAGACCGAUAGCGAACAAGUACCGUGAGGAAAGAUGAAAAGGACUUUGAAAGAGAGUUAAAAGUACGUGAAACCGUUGAAAGGAAGCGAAUGGAGUUAGCAAUUCGUUUGUCAGAUUCAGUUGCAUGCACGCAGCAACGUGCGCGCUCUUGAUCCGCAUGGACAAGGUGUACGGAUGCAACAUGCAGGCACGCUUUGGCAACGAGCGUCAGCAUUGGUUGUUGUUGAGCGAUAAGGUUGCAAGGAAGGUAGACGAAUUUAUCGUUGUUAAGCCUUGCAUUCGCAUGGUUUGAUGACAACCAUGGCACUGCAACGUGUGCUUUGCUGGCAACAACUUCUCGGUCCGACAUGUGACUGUGGUGGACGGCUCGCCUGUGCCUCAAACUGCUGUCGGUCGCGUGUUGGUGUUUGCACAUUACACGUUAAGGAUGCUGACGAUCAUACGGCUAUCCGACCCGUCUUGGACCAAGGAGUCUAACAUGUGCGCAAGUCUCCGGGUGAUUGAAACCUGUGGGCACAAUGAAAGUAAAGACUGUCCUAGACAGUUGAGGUGAGAGUCUCAUCGAGACUGCAUCAUCGACCGACCUAUUCUGCUCUCAGAGAGGUUUGAGUAAGAGCGUAUCUGUUGGGACCCGAAGAGAUGGUGAACUAUGCCUGAAUAGGGUGAAGCCAGCGGAAACACUGGUGGAAGCUCGUAGCGAUUCUGACGUGCAAAUCGAUCGUCGAAUUUGGGUAUAGCGGCGAAAGACUAAUCGAACCAUCUAGUAGCUGGUUCCUCGAAGUUUCCCUCAGGAUAGCUGGAGCUCUUUGUGCAGUUUAUCAGGUAAAGCGAAUGAUUAGAGGUCUAGGGUCAGUGACCUUAACCUAUUCUCAAACUUUAAAUUGGUAAGAAGUCAACUUGUAACUGAAGUUGGACAUUCGAAUGCUGAAGCUCUUAGUGGGCCAUUUUGGUAAGCAGAACUGGCGAUGCGGGAUGAACCGAACGCCGAGUUAAGGUGCCAAAGUCGACGCUCAUCAGAUCCCACAAAAGGUGUUAGUUGAUAUUGACAGCAGGACGGUGGCCAUGGAAGUCGGAAUCCGCUAAGGAGUGUGUAACAACUCACCUGCCGAAUCAACUAGCCCUGAAAAUGGAUGGCGCUCAAGCGUCGCACUAUACUCGGCCGUCAAAGCAAGUGCGAUGUUUUGACGAGUAGGAGCGCAGUGGUCGUGACGCAAGCCUGGCGCAAGCCAGGUGAAACGGCCACUGGGUGGUGGACGGACGGUUGAGUCGAUCCUAGAGAUAGAAAUUCCGUUACAAAGCGUCCCAUUUGUGGACCGCCUAUCGAAAGAAAGGAAUCGGGUUAAUAUUCCCGAACCAGAACAGGGAUACUGCCACCUAGUGGCACAAGCGUAACACAACCGAACUCGAGACGUCGGCGAGAGCCGGAAGAGUUCUCUUUUCUUUAACGGACAACGUUACCCAAAUCGGUUUAGCCGGAGAUAGGGUUUCACGUCCGGUAAACCCCACUUCUUGUGGGGUCCGGUGCCUUUGACGGCCCUUGAAAAUCGGGAGUGGUUCAUUUUCUUGUCUGGUCGUACUCAUAACCGCAGCAGGUCUCCAGGUGAGCAGCCUCUAGUUGAUAGAGACAAUGGAAGGGAAGUCGGCAAAAUAGAUCCGUAACUUCGGGAAAAGGAUUGGCUCUAAGGGUUGGGUCUGUCGGGCUGGGACUUGAAGCGUGAGGACUCGGCGUGGGCUGACGGAAUGCGUGGCUUGCUGCGUGUCUAAGUCGGACUGCGAAGGGACUUCGCGUGGAUUAUCUCGCUGUGACCGUCAGGUCGAUUCGGCAAACAAUUAACAACCAACUUAGAACUGGAACGGACAAGGGAAUCCGACUGUUUAAUUAAAACAAAGCAUUGCGAUGGCUAGUGAUUGGUGUUGACGCAAUGUGAUUUCUGCCAGUGCUCUGAAUGUCAAGUGAAGUAAUUCAUCCAAGCGCGGUAAACGGCGGGGUAACUAUGACUCUCUUAAGGUAGCAAAUGCCUCGUCAUCUAAUUAGUGACGCGUGAAUGGAUUAACAGAUUCCCACUGUCCUAUCUACUAUCUAAAACCACAGCCAAGGAACGGGCAGGCAACAGCGGAAAGAAGACCCUGUUGAGCUUGACUCUAGUCUGACUCUGUGAAGAACAUGGAGGUGUAGAAUAAGUGGGAGGAGCAAUCCGUCGGUGAAAUACCACUACUCUUAUCGUUUUUACUUAUUCGGUGAAGCGGAGCUGGACAUCAAGUCCACUUUUGGAAUUAAGAUCGCUCUUCUGCCGGUCGAUCCGAGCCGAACACUGUCAGGUUGGGAGUUUGGCUGGGGCGGCACGACUGUCAAAUGAUUGCAGGUGUCCUAAGGUGAGCUCAAUGAGAACGGAAAUCUCAUGUAGAAUAAAGGGUAAAAGCUCACUUGAUUUUGAUUUUCAGUAUGAAUACAAACUGUGAAAGCAUGGCCUAUCGAUCCCUUAGUCUUUAUGAGUUUUAAGCUAGGGGUGUCAGAAAAGUUACCACAGGGAUAACUGGCUUGUAGCGUAAGCGUUCAUAGCGACGUUGCUUUUGAUCCUUCGAUGUCGGCUCUUCCUAUCAUUGCGAAGCAGAAUUCGCCAAGCGUCGGAUUGUUCACCGCCAAUAGGGAACGUGAGCUGGGUUUAGACCGUCGUGAGACAGGUUAGUUUUACCCUACUGUUGAAGUGUUGUUGCAAUAGUAAUUCUGCUCAGUACGAGGAGGAACGCAGAUUCCAGACAAUGGUGGGCUCAUGUACGCCUGAAAAGACAAUGGUGCGAAGCUACCAUCUUGUUCCGGAUUAUGAUUGAACGCCCUCUAAAUCCAGAUCCGUGCUAGAACCUGGCAAUUCCUUUCUCUGGACGACUUAAGCGAACCCAGAAUAGAGAUGCUUGUCAUCUCCGUCUGAAUGUGCCUACAGUGCGGACUAUGCGCAAAGCACUGCAUUGAUCAAAAUCUGAAUGUUUCAGAGCUAAAAUCCUUUGCAGACGACUUAAAAUAAGAACGGGGUAUUGUAGCAGUAGAGUAGCCUUGUGCUACGAUCUGCUGGUCGCCUUGUUUAAGAUUUGU